AUCUAAUUGUGAAUUAUCGCGCUACUAAUUGCAUAGUAGAUACCACAUUGUUGUCAUGAAAAAUGUCAAAUUCAGUUUAGUUUGUAAUUAAUUUAAUAAACAAUUAUUUUUCAUCUUAACGUUUAACAAUUUAAAUUGAUUAUUUUUCAACUCGUAACAAAUUAUAAGAACAUCGCGGUAUCGCCGUGUAAUGAGUGAUUCAGAUGAUACUGAUAUUUUACUAUUAAUACCACCAAAUUACUUUGCUACUGCUACCCCGGAGGAAUUGGAAGAGUUUCAAAUCAUUCAUCCAGUACGAAGUUCAGCUACAGCGUUUACACGCGAUGCCAAUUACAUGAAUGCAUAUAUUGGCAACAGAAAUUAUUUCAAUCACUCAGAAAAUAAUAUAAAUAAAAUGGAAGCAACACUUAUAGAAUCGAAUACCAAUAUUGACGGCGCAACUGACCAUCGGAAUAUGGAAAUAUUUGUUGCGAAUAAAUAUAUGGAGCUGAACGAAAUCAACUCACGCUUGAAGUUGCUAGAACGUGAAAAAGAUUGCCGUUUUACAGCCGCUUCAGACAUAUCCACCAUAUCGAAUGGCACACAAGCAGCACGAUAUAGUAGGGAAGGGCUGGUCCAUUCCACACCUAAAUGUUAUACAAACACUGAACGUCUUUAUAAGAAGGAUGCUGGUGGUAUUUUAAAUGAAAUUGAUAAUUUCUUAGGUGAUCGCAAUCGUGAACUAAUGGAUAGUGUGCAGCAGCAGGAAGCCAUUAACUCAAAUCCAAUCAUAGAAAAACCUCAACAAGUUAAAAGUCGAUAUCAACAAGCCUAUCCCGAUGUAAAAACAACGUUGGGAGCUGAUGUCAAUUUAAUAAGUUUAAGUGAAAUCUGGGGCAAAAGUGGUCAAGGCACUGCCAUUGCAUGUGCUGGUCCACAACAGUCUGUGUAUAUAGAAGAACAACUACGGCGUCAGCAUCUUGAACGAACGGUACACUCUUUGCAAACGCGCUUACUUGAAUACCAACAACGGUUGUCGGUGGCUAUAGAAGUGGAUCGUGCCAAAGAUGCAGCAAUAUGCAACGCACAAACGGAAUGUAAAGCCUUGGAUGCGGAAGUCAAUCAACUGCGUGAAAAAGUUUCAAAACUGGAAGCAGACAAUACUCACUAUAGCACCAAAAUAGAAUCACUGCAAAAGGAAUUGACGCAGGCGUUAAGCUUAGUAACUAAAUUUCAGGAUAAAAGCGAAAAGUUGGAAAAUGAAUUAUCGACAAAUUCCAGAAAAACGAACGAGUGUACCACUAUGUAUAAGCAGCAAAUAGAAGAACUUGAAGUAAAGAUUCACGGUUGCAAAAGAUCGGAAGAGUUCGCUAACAAUGAGUUAAGCAAAUUCAAGGAUAAACUAGUGAAAGUAGAUUAUCUAAAUGAAAAGCUCAAAACACGCUGCGAUGAACUAGAAAAGGAUUGCGGCACAUUAAGAAAUCAAAAAGAAUUGUUGCAGGAAUUUCAACAAAAGCAGAAAACCCGCGCAGACGCAUUAGAAGUACACCGAAAAUCAUUGCAAGACAAAGUAACGGCGCUUACAGAGAGCGAGAUAAAUUUGAAGAAAAAAAUGGAACUUCAACAAAAGACAUUGAAAUCACACUACCAACAACAAUUAGAAAUUGCAGUGGACCAGAAAAUUAAGGAAUUUCAACAGCAAUUAGACAAGAAUGAGGAAAUACUUAAAAUAGAAGCGCGUGAACGUGAACGUUUAAUCGCUGAACGCGCCGUCAAACAGAUAGAACUAAUUAAUGAAAAAAAUGAGAUGGAGCUGAAUUUGCUGCAAGAAAAACAAAAGGAAGAAGUUGAACUGUAUCGCAUACAACUUGCCAAUGCCACAAAGAAAAUAGAAGACUUGGACUGUAAACUGAAUGCUUACAAGACAAAAAGGUGGCGUUAAUAUAAUAUAAACAAUUUUCUUCAAAUAACAUUAAAAUAAAAUUAUUUGAUUUCAGAGCGGUCAUCGCGGAAAAGUUACACGAUGUCAUGGAAGAUCAAUGGCAAAAGGCAUUGGAAAUAUUGACCUCACCAAGCAAUCAAUCACAACAAAUAAGCAAUAAUACAGAUUGCGAAUCACAAGCAAACAAUGAAAAUGAAUUAAAUAAAGACGACGACAGUAAUUAUAAAACACCAAAAAAGAAUAAAGCGCGUGAUCGCAUAUUGAAAAUUAAAGAGAAUAAUUUAAACAAUAUCAAUGAGCGAAAGUCUUCACCAGAACCAAUGGACAGACUGCAGGCAUACAUUGAAUUGCUACUGAGCAAAUCUCCCAGUGAAUUUGAUAAAUUGGAUGAAAUCCUAGCAUUAGCUAGUAAAACCAAGUCCUCCACAUCCAAUACCAAAUCGGAUAAACAUAUGAAUUGCUGCAAGCCACCAUGGCGCGGAUAACAGUCUUUUGUUUAAAUAUACAGUCACGAGCAUGUUUGGGUUUAAUACUCGUAUAUAUUCAUACAGAAAGUACAAAGUGUAGCAGUAUUCGCGCUUUAGGCAAGCUUGUACGUAAUUAUGUGUCGAAAAAUAUAUUGUGUUUUAAUUUUUCUUAUUGUAUAAAAACAGCUUGCCACAAUAAUUUACUUAUCAAUAAGUAUUUUUAAUUAUAGUUAACACGAUAUUAAUUAAUGUUUUAUACUCGCGUAUUUUUUUACUCAUAAUGCGAAAAAAGUAAAAAUACCAGUUGCACUAUAUAUUUUCUGGGCUUUUUUUUGUAUGUAUUGAUGUUAGAUUGAGCAACCUACCGUUUGGAGCAUUAAAGUAGAAGCAGUUGCUUUUAGUGUAGUUGUGGAUUGACACGUAGUUACUGCUAUACCAGUACCGAUAGUGUACCGAUAUGAAAAAAAUGCUGCAGAUUAGCAUCGAUUGCAUGUCGAGGCAUAUGGUGAUCAUGCUCCAUCAGAAGCAACAUGCAAAAGAUGGUUUCAACAGUUCAGAGAUAAUGAAGUGCAAACAAUAUUGGAUGAAGAUGAUACUUUGAGUCAAAAGCAAAUGGCAGCCAUUUUAAAUGUUGCACAACAAACUAUUUCAAACCGUUUGGAAGAUAAGGGAAAGAUCAAAAGGAAGGAAAAUGGAUGCCACAUGAAUCGAAUGAAAGACAAAUGGAAAACCAAAAAAAACACUUGUGAAAUUUUGAUCAACAUCGACUGCAAAAACAGAUCGAUUCUGUAAGAAGUCAAUGCUCUAUGUUUGGUGGAAUCAGAACGGUGUGCUAUAUCAUGAGCUUUCAAAGCCUGGUAAAACUGUUAAUACUAAACGCUACAGACAACAAAUGAACAAUUUGAAACAUGCAUUGAUCGAUAAAUAACCAGAAUGAGCUAAAAGACACGGCAAAGUAAUUUUGUUACACGGCAAUUCACCUGGACACAAAGCAAAAUCGGUUCAGGAUACAAUCAAAGUAUUUGAGUAAUUUCCGAUUAUCAUUUGUUUUCAUGGAUGGGACACGCCUCUCAGUUUUAAAGUAAAUUUC